rfam:Danio rerio chromosome 2 genomic contig CTG124, GRCz11 reference primary assembly.
AGCCACAGCCAUAUCACCCUGCAGCCUAAGACCCACUCAAUGAAGCUAAGCAGGGAUGAACCCGGUCAGUACCUGGAUGGGAGACCUCAUUGGAAAACUAGGUUGCUUUUGGAA